UGCAGUCGAACGCGAAAACUACUUCGGUAGUUAGUAGAGUGGCGAACGGGUGAGUAACACGUAAUCAAGCUACCCCCGAGACCGGAAUAACCGCGGGAAACUGCGGCUAAUGCCGGAUAGUCCAACCAGAUCGCAUGAUCUGGUUGGUAAAUGGAGGGGAUCCUUCGGGACCUUCUGCUCGGGGAGGUGAUUGCGGCCUAUCAGCUUGUUGGUGGUGUAACGGACCACCAAGGCUACGACGGGUAGCGGGCCUGAGAGGGUGGCCCGUCACACUGGGACUGAGACACUGCCCAGACUCCUACGGGAGGCUGCAGUCGAGAAUCUUCCGCAAUGGACGAAAGUCUGACGGAGCGACGCCGCGUGUAGGACGAAGGCCCUAGGGUUGUAAACUACUGUCACGGGUUAUGAAUGGGCCGGCGUUAAUAGCGCCGGUCUUGACGUAAGCUCGAGAGGAAGCACCGGCUAACUCUGUGCCAGCAGCCGCGGUAAUACAGAGGGUGCAAACGUUGUUCGGAAUUACUGGGCAUAAAGCGCACGUAGGCGGUUUGGUUAGUGUGAGGUGAAAUCCCACGGCUCACCCGUGGAAUUGCUUUGCAUACU
rnacentral:rRNA from 1 species